rnacentral:tRNA from 1 species
AGUUAAUGAACUUGUUUAAGUGUAUAUUUUGAAAAUAUAAUAAAGGUAUUUAAAUUUCCUAUUGACUU